GACGAACGCUGGCGGCGUGCCUAAUACAUGCAAGUCGAGCGGAUCAUUCCUUCGGGAAUGGUUAGCGGCGGACGGGUGAGUAACACGUAGGCAACCUGCCUGUAAGACUGGGAUAACCACCGGAAACGGUAGCUAAGACCGGAUAACUGGUUUCUUCACCUGAAGAGAUCAUGAAACACGGAGCAAUCUGUGGCUUACAGAUUGGCCUGCGGCGGAUUAGCUAGUUGGUAGGGUAACGGCCGACCAAGGCGACGAUGCGUAGCCGACCUGAGAGGGUGAUCGGCCACACUGGGACUGAGACACGGCCCAGACUCCUACGGGAGGCAGCAGUAGGGAAUCUUCCGCAAUGGACGCUAGUCUGACGGAGCAACGCCGCGUGAGUGAUGAAGGUUUUCGGAUCGUAAAGCUCUGUUGCCAGGGAAGAACGCCCAGGAGAGUAACUGCUCCUGGGGUGACGGUACCUGAGAAGAAAGCCCCGGCUAACUACGUGCCAGCCGCCGCAGUAAUAC
rnacentral:rRNA from 1 species